GUGGGAGAUAGAGGAGAGCAGGGAAACUAUGUCAUUCGACGAAACCAUCUUUGUUUGAGACAUUCUGCCAAACAGUUGGCAUGCCUUUUGUAUUGUUCCACAAUUUGCAUAUGUUUGCUCUAGUAGACGAUGUAUGCGAAAUGUGGAAGCUGUCAUGCCAACGUUAAAUUCAUAUGGCCUCCAUUCCUUUAUUGCCAUUGGACCUGUCACUCAAUAAAAUCUGACCAUUCUUUGGCUUAACUUUCAGGGUGAUUGGAACGGUGCUGGUGCUCAUACAAAUUAUAGCACAAAAUCUAUGAGGACCGAUGGUGGAAUCAAUGUGAUCAAGAAGGCCAUUGAAAAGCUGGGGUUGAAGCACAAGGAGCACAUUGCUGCAUAUGGAGAGGGCAAUGAGAGGCGUUUGACUGGCAAAAAUGAGACAGCAGACAUCAACACAUUUUCCUGGGAUAUGUACAAGGUGGAUUCGGUGAAAAGCGUUUAGGAACUUCAAGCAAAUUUAAUUGGCAGGUGUCAAGCUAGACUCUGCAACCUUUGCCACCAUCCUCGCAGGUUGUGUGAAAUGGGAGCUUUGGAACAGGGUAUGGACAUUCAUCAAAGCAUAAAAGAUAGAGGUUUUUUUGAGAUAUUGUUGCAACUGCUCUGGUAGACAUGCAUGGGACACGUGAAACCAUAGACAAGACAGGCGAACUGUUUGACAAAAUACUCCAAAGAAAUGUGGUUCCAUGGAAUGCGAUGAUUGCAGGAUAUGCACGAAAUGGACUUGUCGACAAGACUGGAGAAUCUUCCAAGCAAAUUUUAUCAUUGUGGUGAUGUUUUAUAUGCAUUAAAGCUGAGCAUUAAAAUGUUAAAUUAAAUAUGCAUUAAAGCUGAGCAUCUCAUAAUGUGAAACAGAACUUGGAAUCUUAAAAUAUAAUUCUUAAUUGA